CCUACGGGAGGCAGCAGUGAGGAAUAUUGGUCAAUGGACGAGAGUCUGAACCAGCCAAGUAGCGUGAAGGAUGACUGCCCUAUGGGUUGUAAACUUCUUUUAUAUGGGAAUAAAACGUUCCACGUGUGGGAUUUUGUAUGUACCAUAUGAAUAAGGAUCGGCUAACUCCGUGCCAGCAGCCGCGGUAAUACGGAGGAUCCGAGCGUUAUCCGGAUUUAUUGGGUUUAAAGGGAGCGUAGGUGGAUUGUUAAGUCAGUUGUGAAAGUUUGCGGCUCAACCGUAAAAUUGCAGUUGAAACUGGCAGUCUUGAGUACAGUAGAGGUGGGCGGAAUUCGUGGUGUAGCGGUGAAAUGCUUAGAUAUCACGAAGAACUCCGAUUGCGAAGGCAGUUCACUGGACUGCAACUGACACUGAGGCUCGAAAGUGUGGGUAUCAAACAGGAUUAGAUACCCUUGUGUC
rnacentral:rRNA from 1 species